GACGAACGCUGGCGGCGUGCCUAACACAUGCAAGUCGAGCGGGGAACUGCGGAAUGCGACUUCGGUCAAAUGAAACAGUUUCUAGCGGCGGACGGGUGAGUAACGCGUGAGCAACCUGCCUUGUACUGGGGAAUAACGCAUCGAAAGAUGUGCUAAUACCGCAUGUGGUCGGCGAUUCGGUUCGCCGCCCAAAGCCGUAAGGCGCUUCCGGCGGGGCCUGCGUCCGAUUAGCUAGUUGGUGGGGUAAUGGCUCACCAAGGCGACGAUCGGUAGCUGGUCUGAGAGGAUGAUCAGCCAGACUGGGACUGAGAACGGCCCAGACUCCCACGGGAGGCAGCAGUCGGGAAUUUUGCCCAAUGGACGAAAGUCUGAGGCAGCAACUCCGCGUGAGGGACGAAGGCCUUCGGGUCGUAAACCUCUUUCUCAGGAGAUCCAAGACGGUACCUGAGGAAUAAGCCACGGCUAACUACGUG
rnacentral:rRNA from 1 species